rnacentral:rRNA from 1 species
CCCUUAGAUGUUCUGGGCCGCACGCGCGCUACACUGAUGCAUUCAACGAGCCUAUCCUUGACCGACAGGUCCGGGUAAUCUUUGAAUCUGCAUCGUGACGGGGAUAGAUUAUUGCAAUUAUUAAUCUUAAACGAGGAAUUCCUAGUAAGCGCGAGUCAUCAGCUCGCGCUGAUUACGUCCCUGCCCUUUGUACACACCGCCCGUCGCUACUACCGAUUGAAUGGUUUAGUGAGGCCUUCUGACUGGCGCCGCUACUCUGGCAACAGAGCGGCGGAUGCCGGGAAGUUGGUCAAACUUGAUCAUUUAGAGGAAGUAAAAGUCGUAACA